rnacentral:lncRNA from 1 species
UGAACCGACUUCCGAUGGACAUCUACCGUGCCACGCGCGCUCGCCCGGCCAAUCUCAGCGCCUUUGUACCGCUGUCGGAAGACUUCUUCGCCAGACAAAACCGACGUCGUAAUGCGAUCCUCGCAGAUGUCGUCCCUCCGGCGAACCUCGGACACUUCCCCCAGGCUACCAUCGCUAGCAGGCUAGCGAAUCGCUUCGGAGGAUACCCUUCCGAUUUUCAAGUGGCCCAGUACAGAGAAAGAGAUUUCGUUGUCUUCUUACCGAAAUGGGUUCAGAUCGAUCAUCUUCUUCAGAGGGAGAUCCUUACCCUGGGGGACAUCCAGUUAAGAUGCUUCGAGU